AUGUCUUCACCGAGGAGGCUUUCCUGGGUCGUGCUGAGGAAGCACGUCCCGGUCUUCGACGCCGAGGAGAAGGAGCAGGAAGACAAGAUCAUGGCCGAGGCGAGCAAAGAUUGGGGGAACAUCGAGGAUGGGUCCUGGAUACUGGACCAGUUCUCACUCGACGCGCACCUCGUGGAGCCGCCGGAGCUCUCCACCUUGUCCGUGCGCGCCAAGAUCGAGACGCAGGAGCGCGGCAUCGGGUGCGUCCUCGACUCCGUCGUGGAGAACUACCUCGUCAUGACUCUGGUGUUCUGCGACAGGUGGUACGGGCUCGUCUACGACGCCGCCAAGAACUCGCUCUCGCUGCUCCCCGCCACCAUGGAUUCCUUCGAGGGCUACGACUUCGCGUCGAGAGUUGAUUCUGUGCCCUUCUUCUUCCUGAGGCCACCUGCUGUCCUGCCACGCGACGACGGUUCCUACGAUCUGUUCAAUCUGGGGUUCCGUUUCGCUACACGCGACAGAGUGUUGCAGGGGUCGUCGGGCAUCAUCUUCCGGUGGUGGAGCCAUGCCGCUGGCAAGAAGUGGACGAAGCAGGAGGCGCGCUUCAGCCCGCAUACCCAGGUGCCGCGCCAGCCGGCUUACAAAGUAGACGCGGCCUUCACUUUCAAAGGGAAGGAGUGCCAAGGCCGUGACUUCUCCCGCAGUUACCCCAAGGACCGUCGGACCAUGGGCCCUGUCGGGGACUCCAUAAAGCUCAUCUCCAUCGUCACCAUCAGUGGCGACAACCCCCGUGACAACACGCCCCCUGCCGAUGUCGUGUUGCGGAGCUGGACCCUGUCGCCAGAUCUCCGCUCAUGGACGAGAGACCAAGACAUGGAGCUGCCCUUGCCCCUGCUCUGGCAGUCGGAGGUCUACAAGCGCGAGAGGCUGCCGCAGGCCAUGCCGCAGUGCCCAGUCCUCAAGGCCGACGAGGAUGGUGUCCUUUACCUCUUGCUGGGAGAUUACUACCUCGAUUGGGAGAGAAGGGCUCGGCUAUGCAGGGAGAUUGAGUGUGUGAUCAGCAUCGACAUGCGCACAAAGUCUCUCCUGUCCUGCAGCCAUCGUCCGAUCAAAGAUGGCUUGCCGGCGCCAGCGCCAUGGGAAGAAGUCCAGCCUUCCAAAGAUUUCCAUCCUGACAUACCUUCCCUGGUUGCUGCCAAGUUCUGCGCGAACCACACUGGAUGGUCUCAUUGUCUUCUCCACAAGGAAAAGAAGAAUCGUCUGAUAUACUGUAGAUGGUAA
rnacentral:rRNA from 1 species